AUGGUCAUUCACUUAAUAUGAUCCCGCGCUCAGGAACUCACCCUAUUCGACCCUUAUAAUUUUCUGAACCCCCCAAACCCUAGAGAUGCCCCUCAUUUCCCCUACUUCCCUCAUCUCUCUCAUCUUUGAAGAAUCCACCGCCGAAAAUCGCCUUAUGGCGACGACGCCACUCCAAAUCACUUCAAAUUGACACCCCAUAAUCUCCAACUCCUCCUCAAUCUAAACCCCUUACCAUUUUCUCUGAAAUCUUCACCACAAUCAACAUGUUAGAGAUUCAAAAUUCCAAAAAAUUGAGUUUUGUUCGCUCUCUGAUUCUUCAUUAUUUUCAUGUGUUUUGGCUCAAAACUUAUGUGAGUCAAUUGCUCUUAAUGAGAGAAAAUCGAUUUACGUUAGCUUCAAUUCAUUUUGAAGACACAUAAUGCGUUUGAGUUUUGUUGGUUGGCCCGUUUUUCUUCCAAAUCAUUUUCAGUCGUGUAGUGCCUGCAAGUAUGACUCCCUGCCUUUCGGGUAGGAGCAAGGCUCGUCUACAUAUUAUCCUCCCCAGACCCCACCUGGUGGGAAUAUACUGGAUAGUUGUUGUUGUAGCAGUGCCUGCAAGUAUGACUCCCAUUAUGUUUUUCUUUAAUUUCAGUUUGUUUCAUCAUAUUCAUCUCCUUAUACCUUAUCUCUAUCAAAAAUAGAAAUAAUUAAUCAGUUUGAUUAUUAAUUAGCUUCCUACUCUUAAUACUGUAGUAUUUCUUAUAGAGUUUAAUUGUACUAAUAAAUAUGUAUGUGUUUUAGGUCACAAUAUGUGUGUUUGAUAAUUUAAUUUUUUUGUUGUUUGAGUUUUUUUUCUUGAUCUUGCUAAUUGUUGUCUUUUGCUUUUCUUCUCUUUAGGAUUAGACUAAUGCUUACUAAUAAAAGUCAUUCAAUAUAGGGUUAGAGUACUGAUGAUUGGCAAUUAGCAAUACAUUUAGAGGGCACUUUAGGAAUUAAAUCUGAAUGAAUAUUAUUUGUAACAAUUAGAAGGUUCUAUAAUAUAGUAGAAGGGACCAUAAUGUAAAAAGAUAAGAAAAACUAGGUCAAAAUUUGCGUAAAAGGGAAAUUUUCAGAAGUUAAAAGGUUUAGUUAGAACACGAGAGAAUUCUUGAAUUGAAUAGCUGUCCAUUUCCAGUUUUAGAAAGAUUCCCUCCCGUAAUCUUUAACUGACAUGAUUCCUUUUUACCCUAUCCGUUUUUCUACAACUGACACACUCUAUAUAUGGGACUGAAUUUUACACUAUUCUGGGGGAGAAAAAAACGCACAUAUACUCUCAUAUCAUGAAUUUCUCUUAAGAAGAAAACAUCAAUUUAGAGGCAGAAAUACAAAAUAUAGAGAACGUGCUAAACUUUUCUUGUUCUGUCUUCCUGCUUCAUUUUUUUUGGGUGUUACAAGUUUGAUUAACUGUUGAGACCUUGGUUCACUGCUAAAGAUCACCUCUGAGCUUCCAGUUUGAAUCAUAUUAUGUUCUUAUCUGGAGAUCUUAGUGCUUUCUUCCUUAACCAAGUCAGUACAUGUUACGUCCUAUAUUUUCAUACGUUAAAGUACAUCAUACGUCAAUUGAUACAAGCGCAGAAACGAGAGAUUACAUCUCGCAUUUUUCUUACGUUAAUGUUUCGUCGUAAGUUAAUCGAUAUAAGCUCGGGAAUGAGAUUAUUUUAAAAUGAUAAGUGAUAUGCUAUGUCAAACAAGUGAUAAGUUAAUUGAUGAAGGUGAAAUGGUAAGCGAAUGGAAGAAAGUGAGUUCUGUCGGAGUUUGAUAAUUUGAAGAUAAAAUACGGUCUAAGUUAUAAUAUCCGAUAUUUAGGGACUAGUUUCAUACAAGGUACCACAUGACUUGCAUUUUAAGUAAUUUGAGAUAAUUUUUAAUUAUGUAAUAAUAAAUUAAUUAUUAAUUUUUAAUGGGGGAUUAACAUGUAAUUGAAGCUUUGUGGAUAAAAUUUGGUGGAACCCCAACGUGGCAGCAAGAUUUGGCCAAAUUAGUGACUCUUUAAUCACAUUGCUAGGUGGCAUACAUUGAGAAUCAAGUUGGGGCCACAACAACAUUGAUGAAAGGCUUUCCAUCUCCAUUUAAUUGAGAUGUUUAUGACUACAAGUAAGGGAUCUCUUCAGCAAGUUCAUACAAGAACAUGUAUAUACAUGUAAUAUGAGUUCUUCAAUAAAAAUUCAUACGAAUAUAUAUUAUGUAAUAGCAAUGGUAUCUUGCGAUUCUAAUUAGGGAGUACGAUGUAAUUUUUUUCAAAAAUAUUAUACGGAUUUUUUCCUAUUUGGAUUCGCCGUUACGUGUUAUUGUAAUUGACGUGUUUUAGAGGGAUUGUUAAGAGAAUCAGCUUAGGUAUGCUAAGGCUAUCCCUUCUUUCUUUUUGGCAUGAUCCGUAUGAUAUAAAUGAAAUAAAUAAAUGCACAACUUUCAUAAAUAACUCUAUCAUUGAAGUGCUAGAAGUGACUAUGUUCUUGAUUUUCCAAGUAUCUUAUUAAUCUCUCAUCCGUUCAUGGGUCUUAGAAAAUACGUAAGUUGAUUAAGUUUAUUUCAUGAUAUUAAUCAGAGUCAUAAUGGUAUCACGACCUUCCGAGAGAUUUUAUUAACGUAUUACUCAUGCAUUGCAUUCAUUUACAUGUACAUUGACCCAUGACCAAAUAACAUUAUAUACGUGUAUAUAUGUAUAUUAUAUGUAUAUGAGAUAUGAAAAAAUUCUACGACAUAUAUACGUACCAUCACAUGAUCAGCUAAUAUACAUUGGUGAUUUGCCCACAGUGGCCGAGAUGAUAUAAUGGGAUGCCCGCAGAGGAUUGAUGAAGUUAUUAACGCGUAUACCCUUGC
rnacentral:lncRNA from 1 species